ensembl:lncRNA
AGUGUCCCGCCGUGAGGGGAGCGGCUCCUUGGCCACGGUGGCCGACCCUCCGGUGACAGCCCUCCCUCCACGGGCAAGGAAGGAAGAAACAAAAGGCAGAAGAGUUGGAGGAUCCUCACAGCCCUUAAAGCAGCCUAGGUGACUAUAAUUUUAGAAGCUGAUUCAUCUGCACUGAUACUGCAGGACUGGAAGAAAAAGAGAGCAUCUAACAAUUUAGCAGGUUACUCUGUCCCUUCUGAGGAGUGGAUUUGUGAAUUAGACACACACACACAGCUCUGGCAAG